GGAGCCGUGGCCGAGAGGACGAUGGCGCUGCUUUGCUAAAGCAGAUCGGGUCACACCGACGGGGGUUCGAAUCCCUCCGGCUCCG
rnacentral:tRNA from 1 species